UCCCCUAGUAACGGCGAGUGAAGCGGGAACAGCUCAAAUUUGAAAUCUGGCCCUUGGGUCCGAGUUGUAAUUUGUAGAGGAUGCUUUUGGUGCGGUGCCUUCCGAGUUCCCUGGAACGGGACGCCUUAGAGGGUGAGAGCCCCGUACGGUUGGACGCCUAGCCUCUGUAAAGCUCCUUCGACGAGUCGAGUAGUUUGGGAAUGCUGCUCUAAAUGGGAGGUAUAUUUCUUCUAAAGCUAAAUACUGGCCAGAGACCGAUAGCGCACAAGUAGAGUGAUCGAAAGAUGAAAAGCACUUUGAAAAGAGGGUUAAAUAGCACGUGAAAUUGUUGAAAGGGAAGCGUUUAUCACCAGACUUUUUCUGGGGGGAUCAUCCGGUGUUCUCACCGGUGCACUUCCCCCAGUUGAGGCCAGCAUCGGUUUUCGGAGGGGGAUAAAAGCUUCGGGAAUGUGACUCCCUCGGGAGUGUUAUAGCCCGUUGCAUAAUACCCUUCUGGGGACCGAGGUUCGCGCAUCUGCAAGGAUGCUGGCAUAAUGGUGAUCAACGACCCGUCUUGAAACACGGACCAAGGAGUCGAACAUUUAUGCGAGUGUUUGGGUGUCAAACCCUCACGCGUAAUGAAAGUGAACGGAGGUGAGAGCCCUUACGGGUGCAUCAUCGACCGAUCCUGAUGUCUUCGGAUGGAUUUGAGUAAGAGCAUAACUGUUCGGACCCGAAAGAUGGUGAACUAUGCGUGGAUAGGGUGAAGCCAGGAGAAAUCCUGGUGGAGGCUCGCAGCGGUUCUGACGUGCAAAUCGAUCGUCAAAUCUGCGCAUGGGGCGAAAGACUAAUCGA
rnacentral:rRNA from 1 species